CCACCAGGAUGAUGCUGUGCGGGGUGCUGACGUUGAUACUCAGCUGGGCGUCGCUCGGAGCCGAAUUGGCCGCCGCUGUGGGCACGAGUGACUUCUGCGUGGCGCCUGACAAGUUCAUCAUGAGUCAAAUCAAAGGCGUCAUCGGCACAGAUAUCGUUCAUUACUAUGUUUACUGCAACCAGACGUUGACCAACCCUUACCAGCAGGUACGCAUCAUGGUCAAAUAAUUAGGUCGAGCUACCAAUAUAAGGCAAUGUGUUCAUUGGAUUGAGCAGGUGGACCUAAUGUAGUGGCCUAGUUGACUUUAAAACGUACACCGAACUCUCGUGUGAGCAAAGUUCAGAUCUUACGGGAGAUCGCUGA